UGAAGGUCAGGCUGAAGACCUUACCCGAUUAGCUGAGAGGUGGUGCAUGGCCGUCGUCAGUUCGUACUGUGAAGCAUCCUGUUAAGUCAGGCAACGAGCGAGACCCACGUCCACAGUUGCCAGCAUACCCUCCGGGGUGAUGGGUACACUGUGGAGACCGCCGCUGCUAAGGCGGAGGAAGGAGUGGGCAACGGUAGGUCAGUAUGCCUCGAAUCUCCCGGGCUACACGCGGGCUACAAUGGUUGGUACAAUGGGCAUCUACCCCGAAAGGGGAAGGAAAUCUCUUAAAGCCAAUCGUAGUUCGGAUUGAGGGCUGCAACUCGCCCUCAUGAAGCUGGAAUCCGUAGUAAUCGCGUUUCAACAGAACGCGGUGAAUACGUCCCUGCUCCUU
rnacentral:rRNA from 1 species